rnacentral:rRNA from 1 species
UACGAAGGGGGCUAGCGUUGUUCGGAAUCACUGGGCGUAAAGGGCGCGUAGGCGGCUUUAUAAGUCGGGGGUGAAAGCCUGUGGCUCAACCACAGAAUUGCCUUCGAUACUGUAGAGCUUGAGACCGGAAGAGGUAAGUGGAACUGCGAGUGUAGAGGUGAAAUUCGUAGAUAUUCGCAAGAACACCAGUGGCGAAGGCGGACUUACUGGUCCGGUACGUGACGCUGAGGUGCGAAAGCGUGGGGAGCAAACAG